rnacentral:rRNA from 1 species
CCUACGGGAGGCAGCAGUGAGGAAUAUUGGUCAAUGGACGAGAGUCUGAACCAGCCAAGUAGCGUGAAGGAUGACUGCCCUAUGGGUUGUAAACUUCUUUUAUAAAGGAAUAAAACGAGGCAAGUGUGCCUUUUUCCAUGUACUUUAUGAAUAAGGAUCGGCUAACUCCGUUCCAGCAGCCGCGGUAAUACGGAGGAUCCGCGCGUUAUCCGGAUUUAUUGGGUUUAACGGGAGCGUAGAUGGGUUGUUAAGUUAGUUGUGAAAGUUUGCGGCUCAACCGUAAAAUUGCAAUUGAUACUGGCAGACUUGAGUACAGGUGAGGUAGGCGGAAUUCGUGGUGUAGCGGUGAAAUGCUUAGAUAUAACGAAGAACCCCGAUUGCGAAGGCAGCUUACUAGACUGUGACUGACAUUGAGGCUCGAAAGUGUGGGGAUCAAACAGGAUUAGAUACCCCAGUAGUC